rnacentral:precursor_RNA from 14 species
GGCCAAGAAGACCUGUCUGUCUUCUGUAUAUACCCUGUAGAUCCGAAUUUGUGUAAGGAAUUUUGUGGUCACAAAUUCGUAUCUAGGGGAAUAUGUAGUUGACAUAAACACUCCGCUCAUUUU